rnacentral:rRNA from 1 species
GACGAACGCUGGCGGCGUGCUUAACACAUGCAAGUCGAACGGUAAGGCCCUUCGGGGUACACGAGUGGCGAACGGGUGAGUAACACGUGGGUGAUCUGCCCUGCACUUCGGGAUAAGCCUGGAAACUGGGUCUAAUACCGGAUAGGACCACUGCCUGCAUGGGUGGUGGUGGAAAGCUUUUGCGGUGUGGGAUGGGCCCGCGGCCUAUCAGCUUGUUGGUGGGGUGAUGGUCUACCAAGGCGACGACGGGUAGCCGGCCUGAGAGGGUGACCGGCCACACUGGGACUGAGAUACAGCCCAGAUUCCUACGGGAGGCAGCAGUGGGGAAUAUUGCACAAUGGGCGCAAGCCUGAUGCAGCGACGCCGCGUGAGGGAUGACGGCCUUCGGGUUGUAAACCUCUUUCAGCACCGACGAAGCGCAAGUGACGGUAGGUGCAGAAGAAGGACCGGCCAACUACGUGCCAGCCGCCGCCGUAA